GUUUGGCGUUGCAGCUGUGUGGGCGCUGGUGCGUGCGAGUAGCGCUCGAAGAAACCCAAAGGCGUCGUGGGGCUGCCGUGUGCCCCAGAGAGCACUGCAGGCCGGGUAGGGGCUAAGGCUCCCCGCAGUCUUCUGUGUGUCGUCCAGUACGCAGUUGAAAUCGUUCUCCAACCUGGCCAGUCCUCCGAGGCCCUUCUCAGGCGACCAGACUCUGUUAACAGAGUCCAUUGCUAAAACUCCUCGUUAGUAUUUACCACUCCUCCAGUCUGUGUUUUGAAGCAGUGGUUUUCAACCACUGCCCGUUUUCAGAAGAAAUCAUCUCAAGCGUCCGUGUGCUGCUAGAAGCCGGGCCGGGAGGUCUUGGUGCCGGACUCCACCCUGCAGCCCUUCCCUUUCGCCACCGCCCUGUGCUUAGAGAAACCUUAGAGUGGAGCAAUGAGUCGCCCUUGACUGAGUAACUCUUCGGGGUCAACUUCUCCUUCCACGCCAAGGAAAGGAUUCCAGGGCGAUGUUUCUGGAAAUAGAGAUCUGACCAAGCCACUGCUCUGGUGAAAAUUCAGUGGGUCCCUAGCACCUAGUGCAGCGGCUCCUAGCCUGAGUAUUGCCGUCUUUCGGUGGGGAGGGGUUGGGUUUUUUUGUAGCAUCUGUUGAUCUGAUCUCCAACAUCCUCCACGUCAAUUCCCACUCCACCCACAUCCCUUAUCCUAUACGUAAGCUUUCCAGCCACGGUGCUGGCUUGGGUGGGGGUGCGUGCGGUGCUGACACCAAAAUGGAGGUCCCGUGUUUCUGAGAGUCUCUUUCAGAGCAAUGCAAACCUGAAACUACUCCUGCCAAGAAACGAUUGCAGCUCUUCCCGGAAAAGUUAAAGCCUUUGAGAAACAAAGCUGAGUAAGAAGGAGAACUAAGAAAGAGACUGAAGCAUGGUCUGUGGAGAAGGCACUUGUGCAAACACCAGGAGAAUGAGGGGCCUGAGUUGUCUUCGUUUCUCCUAAAAGCAUGCAUUCCCGGCUGGGCGCGGUGACUCAUGCGUGUAAUCCCGCCACUUUAGAAGGCUGAGGCAGGCGGAUCACCUGAGAUCGGGAGUUCGAGACCAGCCCGACCAACAUGGAGAAACCCCAUCUCUAUUAAAAAUACAAAAUUACCCAGGCAUGGUGGCACAUGCCUGUAAUCCCAGCUACUUGGGAGGCGAAGGCAGGAGAAUUGCUUGAACCCAGAAGGCGGAAGCUGCAGAGAGCCGAGAUUUCGCCAUUGUACUCCAGCCUGGGCAACAAGAGUGAAACUCCAUCUCAAAAAACAAACAAACAAACACACAAACAAACAAACAAACACAUUCCCUCCCAGGCCACCCAAGUGAGGGCAUGAAGCACAGCGUGUGUGUGUGUGUGUGUGUGUGUGUGUGCACGCGUGUGUGCAUAUGUGUGUUUGUGUGUUGCAGGGGUUACAGUGGACAGGAUGUGGGAGGGCAGCUGCAGCUCCAAGCUGCAAGUCUUUCUGAUAGAAUGCUUAAAACUCCUUGGACCACAGCAAGAGAGUGUUUUCAUUUGCACCCAUUUUUAUUAGCGUUUGAACCUGUACUUUUUGUAGCAUGUAAACCUUAAGCUGCUUAACUAUUCCUUGAAGCAUUUACACCAGCGGUUCCCAACCUUUUUGCUACCUGAGACCAGUUUUCUUGAAGACAAUUCUUCCACGGACCCGGGAGAAGGGGAAGGGAUGAUGUGGAGAUGAUUCAAGCCCAUUACAUUUAUUGUGUGCUUCAUUUCUAUUAUUUCACUGUAAUAUAUAAUGAAAUAAUUAC
rnacentral:lncRNA from 1 species